GACAUAAACUAUUUUAGACGCAAUCAAGGAAGAAUCGCCCAUCAUGUGGAAUUGAGCGGCAGUUUUAAAUGUACUAAGAGAAGACUGGUCUCGAAAAAAAAAAAAAACAAUUUUUUCCCCUUCCUUUUUUGGAGACGCCUAAAGGAGCCUGUUUGUGUGCUGUGUGGCCACGUUCUGCUGUGACUGGAUCUUGUCUUCUGCCUGGCUCCUCGAUUUCCGUCCGGCUGGAUUUGGGGACAACACUGCCUGGCGCAGACAGAUCAAAUGACACUUCAAAGAAGCAUAAAAUGAACAGACUAUUCAAACAAAGGUAAUUUACAUUUUUUUAUUUGAUAAAACCUGACUGAUGUACAAAACGAAAAUAGAAUAUUGUUUACUGGAAAACAGGUCUACAAUCUCUCACACAUCUUCUCUUGCAACAGAUAGAAUUCCAGAAACAUCUAAGUUCCUCUGUGUACAGUUAUUUCUCCUGUAGGAGCCUUUGUAUGGAUGUAAUACACACAUAUAUGUAUAUGCAUAGAGCAUGACAUAAAUAAAACCUGCAAUAGCCUAUAAGAAAGAAGCUCCUAUUUAGAGGAAAGGGUAAGAUACUUUUAUUAUAAUGAAAGCCAGUCCACUUCAUCACUUGGACCAUGGACACUAAUGUAAAUAAAAUGGCUUAAAAAAUAAGACAAUAGUAGUAUUGACUGUAGACUACAAUUUGCACAUUUGUAAUUCUUAUAAAUGAAAUAUUUAAAAUGAUUUGGUGUUGGGCCAGUUCCUUAUGCAUUCUGCAUUCAUGUGUAUAGGAUUCAAAGACGUUCCAAAUAUUGAUCAUAAACCAAGUGUAUAUGAAUUAAUUAAAUAGCAUAUUUCUGGCCCAAAUAUGAGGAAAACCAUAACUUUUUACUGUAAAUCAGGAGAGAUUGUUUUAUCCCCAAAUAAACUAGGAUGUUUCAAGUCAUGUUUCAGCAAUUUGGAGACCUACAAACUAUCUGCAAGCAAGCACAACAACCAUACUCUAAUCUACUAGAUAGUAGUGAGAAUUUAGUGCUUGAAUUCAGGCUGCUUGAAUUCAGUAUAUCCUUCUCUAUGCUGAUUUUCAAGUAGAUAUUCUGUAGCUCAGCUAGAUAAUCUUUUAAAAGC
ensembl:lincRNA